rnacentral:rRNA from 1 species
UACGAAGGGGGCUAGCGUUGCUCGGAGUCACUGGGCGUAAAGCGCACGUAGGCGGGUCGUUAAGUCAGGGGUGAAAUCCCGGAGCUCAACUCCGGAACUGCCUUUGAUACUGGCGAUCUUGAGUUCGAGAGAGGUGAGUGGAACUGCGAGUGUAGAGGUGAAAUUCGUAGAUAUUCGCAAGAACACCAGUGGCGAAGGCGGCUCACUGGCUCGAUGCUGACGCUGAGGUGCGAAAGCGUGGGGAGCAAACAGG